GGACAGAUUGAGUGAGAUUGCAAACUAAACUGGAGCAACUGAGGCUGAGCAGUGAAGAACAGUCCUUGUAAACUGCAAUCUUCAGAGCUGAUGGGGUUUUUCUUCCUUUCUUCUCGUUGCCGUGGCAACUCGGUAGGACAGCUUCAAAUGGCAGAAUUCUUACAGACCUGAAGGAGGAGAUGGGGCAAUGCAGGCACCUGGAUGCCAACAGCUGCCUGCCCCUUCCCUGCAGUGCCUCAAUUCUGCUAAACAAAGGAGACUGCAGUGGCAGAUCCCAAGCAGGGCUGGAGGAAAGCAAAGUGCUCUUUCUUCUGAGCCUGGCAAGGGCACUGCUGAAUUCUUGUCUGUGCCUCCCCUCUUCCCUGUCAGGUACUCACACACACUCCCUGUGUCAUGAGCUGUUCCUAACAAGUGAAUAAAAUAAACGUUUUCUGAAAGAAAAGUUGCUCAGAUGAAGCAAAAUUCCGACUCUCCUUGCUUAGAAAUUCAGAGCCAUGUGCUUCCCUGGGUUUAUCAAAUAAAAACCAUCUUCUAAUAAAAUUCCUGUUCUCCAGGGAGGUGAAGAAUCUCACUGGGAGAGGGGGAGUUUUAGGGUAGAAAAGCCAAGAUGUGCUCCAUUAUUAUUUUUUAAAAAAUUGAUGUGAAUUUCAGUUGGAUACUUUGUCAAAGCAGUGUUGCCUUCAUUUGAGCAAUAGGGAAUAAAUGCUUCCUUCAUUUUUCACUUCUGUCAAAACUAAACAAUUGCAGAGGAGGCUGCCUGCAGCCUGCCUGGAUAUUUCCCCAUGCUCUAAUCUGAUAAAUGGAAUGGAAUGGUUGAAAAUAUUCAACAAGUGAAAUGAAUAAGCACAGUUCGGAAAUGGCAGCCCUGAAGAAGUCUGCUGGUUUUUUUCACAGGGAUGCUGCAAAUGAAAUGCAUCAGCUGUAGCAGGGAGCCAACCCUUUAAAGGGCUGGAAGCUGCUCAGGCACUCAGAUCUCAUCUCCCACAGCAGCCCUGCACAGGUUAGCAGCAGUUUUAAAUAAGCAGAACAUGAACAAUCCAGACACAUUCAGAUCUGCAGGUACAGACUAAACCCAGCUUGAAAUCCUAAAUUAAUCAUCUGAAGAAAUUCUUGUUGAGCAAGAAUAAAAACCAGAGUGAAGGAUUAUGCUUAGAAGCCACAGAAAAGGAAAAAAACUAACUAGAAAAUCCAACACUAGAAAAACCAGACUGUUGGUAUCAACACCUGCUCGUUUCAAAUUUUUUGAAGAAUUGCUCCUAAAGUGGCACUUACCUAACCACCAAUUAAUGACCUAUCCUAAUUAAUUAUAUUGAUAAAGUGAGGCUUUAAGAUCUCAUCUAAAACACUCCAAACAUUAAUGGUCCUUUAAAAGGCUUUGUAAGUAUCCACUGGGUAUUGCAGAAGAAAAGGCAACAGCAUCAAACCUUCAGGCACCACAAAUCUCCUCCUAAUCUUUAAUAUCCUGCCCAAAUCUGAACACAAAGCUGUUUACAUUGAGUUAUCUGGAUGUUAUAAAGGGAAAAAUAUAAAAGGAAUAGGAAAAACUGUUAUGGGGUAAAUAGCCGAGGAGAGACAUGGUGAAAAGAAACAAACAUCUCACAAUGUACAGCGACCAUUAAUGGCAGAAAAAAAUACUUCAACUGGUCAUGUAUUCAGUGGCAGUUUUUAAUCAUGGACCACUCCAGAGCAAUCCUGACCGCAGCUAUCUGAAAUUCAAUAUUUAUGUGGCUUUAAGAAGUUGUUCAGAGAAGAAAUACAAAAUAUUAUGUCCCAACAAUUACUGUGGAGCACUGUUGAGAAAAUGAAAACAUAAAAGCGUUCACUUGAGUUCCCAGCGCUAAAUGGGCCAUCAAACCAAUCUCUCUCAAUGUCCCUUUCAUCCUCCAGAGUGACCAUCAGCAAUAACACUGCUGCUCCUGGGGAAGGAGCUGCGUUUGCUCCCUUCUGCAUUCCAAACACACAUCUCCCAAACCGCCCCCUCUGCCCACCUCUGCUCCCCUGAAACGUGUUUGGAUGGUUUCAAAUGUGUGCAAAAUGCCAUUUCCCACCUAACUGACUCCAUCAAAUGCAGUGUUAUUAAGCACAUUUCAAUAUGCUGAUGUGUAAUUUGGGGGCAUUUCUAUUUGUCUUGUCUGGUGUACAAACAUCCUGUCCCCAAUUAUGGACAUCCAUAUGGAUUUCUGGGCCAUUUCAAGCCCCAUUAAUUUUAGGUGGGCUCCCAAACUGCACAAUAUGUUGCAGGGCUGGAAAAAACCUGCAGUGAAAUCACAAGAAUGGACACAGCUCUGUGUUAAAAUUGAGAUUCAAAUCAAGGCUGGUUCAAAUUGAAGCAAACCAUCCUUUCCUUAGAAAUCAACCCAAAUCUUUAGGCACACAAAUAAAAAUGGUGUUUUUCUCAUACAGGCAGUUGAGAAGGAAUCGAUAUAAGCGAUAUUUAGCUGCAAAAAUAAUAAUAUUAAUGUGGACCAAAGCAUCUGUAAAAAAGGCAAUGAGAGAUCGUGGAUAUUGCUGCUGUUGUUUGGUUUAGGAGGUGAGAUUUACAACACUGGAACUCACUAAAUAUCAACAAUCUCCAAUUUCUUGGAAAGCAAAAUUUAGGUGAUAUUUUAGGUACCUAUAUGGUAGUGCUCUAGCAUGAGAAUGCAACUCAAAUUAGAGCAGUGCAAAAAUAAAUAAAAUCCAAAUAACCACCUCAAUAAAGCACCUUUCACAGCAAAACUCUCCAAUUUUAACAGUUUUUGCAAUUCUAGCCAAAAUAGGAAUAUGUGAUUUCUCAGAAAUGGGAAAA